AUUCUGGGGCUCGGGGGAUCCCGGACACCCUCUCAGCUCCUGCCCGGGGGCCCAUGUUGGGCUGGACCAGCCGGCCAGCGGGAGCCCCCUUGGCAGAAGCCGGUCGUAAAGGAUCAUAAACUGGGCGGCGUCUGGCUGGGGCGAAGGUCGCUGAGGUAGGAACUGCGCCAGUCCUAGACGCCAGACCCGCUCAGACCCUCCUGCCAGGUGACAGCCGCCAAGAUGGGGUCUUGGGCCCUGCUGUGGCCUCCCCUGCUGUUCACCGGGCUGCUCGUCCGACCCCCGGGGACCAUGGCCCAGGCCCAGACUGCUCUGUGAACAAGGACAUCUUUGAAGUAGAGGAGAACACAAAUGUCACCGAGCCGCUGGUGGACAUCCACGUCCCGGAGGGCCAGGAGGUGACCCUCGGAGCCUUGUCCACCCCCUUUGCAUUUCGGAUCCAGGGAAACCAGCUGUUUCUCAACGUGACUCCUGAUUACGAGAGAAGUCACUGCUUGAGGCUCAGCUGCUGUGUCAGAGCGGAGGCACAUU
rnacentral:lncRNA from 1 species